UAGGGAAUCUUCCGCAAUGGACGCAAGUCUGACGGAGCAACGCCGCGUGAGUGAAGAAGGUUUUCGGAUCGUAAAACUCUGUUGUUAGAGAAGAACAAGUGCUAGAGUAACUGUUAGCGCCUUGACGGUAUCUAACCAGAAAGCCACGGCUAACUACGUGCCAGCAGCCGCGGUAAUACGUAGGUGGCAAGCGUUGUCCGGAUUUAUUGGGCGUAAAGCGAGCGCAGGCGGUUCCUUAAGUCUGAUGUGAAAGCCCCCGGUUCAACCGGGGAGGGUCAUUGGAAACUGGGGAACUUGAGUGCAGAAGAGGAGAGUGGAAUUCCAUGUGUAGCGGUGAAAUGCGUAGAUAUAUGGAGGAACACCAGUGGCGAAGGCGACUCUCUGGUCUGUAACUGACGCUGAGGCUCGAAAGCGUGGGUAGCAAACAGGAUUAGAUACCCUGGUAGUCCACGCCGUAAACGAUGAGUGCUAAGUGUUGGAGGGUUUCCGCCCUUCAGUGCUGCAGUUAACGCAUUAAGCACUCCGCCUGGGGAGUACGACCGCAAGGUU
rnacentral:rRNA from 1 species